CAUGCAAGUCGGGCGGCAAGGUGCAGCGAUGUACCCUAGAGCGGCGGACUGGUGAGUAACGCGUGGGUGAUCUACCUUGGGGAUGGGGAUAGCCGUUAGAAAUAGCGGGUAAUACCGAAUAAGUUCGCUGGGCUAUGGUCUGGUGAGGAAAGGGGCUUUGGCCUCGCCUUGAGAUGGGCCCGCGUCCUAUUAGGCAGUUGGCGGGGUAAUGGCCCACCAAACCAGAGAUAGGUAGCCGGCCUGAGAGGGCGAACGGCCACACUGGGACUGAGAUACGGCCCAGACUCCUACGGGAGGCAGCAGCUAAGAAUAUUCCGCAAUGGACGAAAGUCUGACGGAGCGACGCCGCGUGGAUGAGGGAGGCCGAAAGGUUGUAAAGUCCUUUUGCGGAUGAAGAAUAAGCGUGGCAGGGAAUGGCCGCGUGAUGACGCAAGUCCGUGAAUAAGCCCCGGCUAAUUACGUGCCAGCAGCCGCGGUAACACGUAAGGGGCGAGCGUUGUUCGGAAUUAUUGGGCGUAAAGGGCGCGUAGGCGGUCUGGUAAGUCUGGCGUGAAAUGGCGUGGCUCAACCGCGUCACUGCGCUGGAAACUGUUGGACUUGGGUCAUGGAGGGGCAGUUGGAAUUCCUGGUGUAGGGGUGAAAUCUGUAGAUAUCAGGAAGACACCGGUGGCGAAGGCGAACUGCCAGCCAAUGACUGACGCUGAGGCGCGAAAGUGCGGGAGCAAACAGGAUUAGAUACCUGGUAGUCCGCACUAUAAACGAUGUGCACUAGGUGUCGGGUCGAGCGAUUCGGCGCCGGAGCGAACGCGAUAAGUGCACCGCCUGGGGAGUAUGCCCGCAAGGGUGAAACUCAAAGGAAUUGACGGGGGCCCGCACAAGCGGUGGAGCAUGUGGUUUAAUUCGAUGAUACGCGAGGAACCUUACCUGGGUUUGACAUGGAGAGGGAUGAUGUAGAGAUAUAUCAGCGUAGCAAUACGCCUUUUCACAGGUGCUGCAUGGCUGUCGUCAGCUCGUGCCGUGAGGUGUUGGGUUAAGUCCCGCAACGAGCGCAACCCCUACUGCCAGUUACCAGCAUUGAGUUGGGGACUCUGGCGGAACUGCCGGCGACAAGCCGGAGGAAGGCGGGGAUGACGUCAAGUCAUCAUGGCCCUUAUGUCCAGGGCUACACACGUGCUACAAUGGGUGGAACAAAGCGAAGCGAGCCCGCGAGGGAAGAGCGAACCGCCGAAAGCCAUCCGUAGUUCGGAUCGGAGUCUGAAACCCGACUCCGUGAAGUUGGAAUCGCUAGUAAUCGCGCAUCAGCAUGGCGCGGUGAAUACGUUCCCGGGCCUUGUACACACCGCCCGUCACACCAUCCGAGUUGGAGGCACCCGAAGCCGGCAGCCUAACCCGCAAGGGAGGGCGCUUC
rnacentral:rRNA from 1 species